GAUGAACGCUGGCGGCGUGCCUAACACAUGCAAGUCGAACGAAGCAAUCAACUUGGAGAUUCGUCAAAGAGAUGGUUGACUUAGUGGCGGACGGGUGAGUAAUGUAUGAGCAACCUGCCUUUCAGUGGGGGACAACAGUUGGAAACGACUGCUAAUACCGCAUAAUGUAUCGAGGGGGCAUCCCCAUGAUACCAAAGGAGAAAUUCGCUGAAAGAUGGGCUCAUAUCUGAUUAGUUAGUUGGUGAGGUAACGGCUCACCAAGACUGCGAUCAGUAGCCGGACUGAGAGGUCGAACGGCCACAUUGGGACUGCGACACGGCCCAGACUCCUACGGGAGGCAGCAGUAGGGAAUCUUCCACAAUGGACGAAAGUCUGAUGGAGCAACGCCGCGUGAGCGAUGAAGGCCUUCGGGUCGUAAAGCUCUGUUGUUAGGGAAGAACAAGUACCGGAGUAACUGCCGGUACCUUGACGGUACCUAACCAGAAAGCCACGGCUAACUACGUGCCAGCAGCCGCGGUAACAC
rnacentral:rRNA from 1 species